rnacentral:rRNA from 1 species
UACAUAGGGGGCAAGCGUUGUCCGGAAUCAUUGGGCGUAAAGAGCGUGUAGGCGGUUCGGUAAGUCGGCUGUGAAAGUCCAGGGCUCAACCCUGGGAUGCCGGUCGAUACUGCCGGACUAGAGUUCGGAAGAGGCGAGUGGAAUUCCCGGUGUAGCGGUGAAAUGCGCAGAUAUCGGGAGGAACACCUAUGGCGAAGGCAGCUCGCUGGGACGUUACUGACGCUGAGACGCGAAAGCGUGGGGAGCAAACAGG